rnacentral:rRNA from 1 species
UACGGAGGGGACUAGCGUUGUUCGGAAUUACUGGGCGUAAAGCGCACGUAGGCGGAUUUGUAAGUCAGGGGUGAAAUCCCGGGGCUCAACCUCGGAACUGCCUUUGAUACUGCAAAUCUCGAGUCCGGAAGAGGUGAGUGGAAUUCCUAGUGUAGAGGUGAAAUUCGUAGAUAUUAGGAAGAACACCAGUGGCGAAGGCGGCUCACUGUCCGGUACUGACGCUGAGGUGCGAAAGCGUGGGGGAGCAAACAGGG